AUUUCUCGUUAAGGGUUCCAAGCAUCACCAGUUAGUGCCAACAAACCAACACUAACCAGGCCAGUAGCUGCUUCAUCUUUCAAUGGAAAUAAACCAGUAGCCAACAAUAACAACUAUAAGAAUUUCGACAAAUACGGCAUCAUCAGGAAAAUCGAACAAGUAUUAGAAGACGGUUAUCAUUACAUAUACGAAACUGAAAAUGGAAUAUUAGCAGAAGAAGAAGGUCAUUUGGCCAACAAAGGACAGGAAAAUGAAUACAUGGACGUCAAAGGAUUCUAUAAAUAUAUUGGAAAGGACAACGUUGAGUAUAAGGUUGAGUACACUGUAGAUGCAUUGAACGGUUUCGUACCUAAGGGAGAUCAUCUUCCCCAAAUUCCUCAAGCAACUGCAUGAGUUAAAACCAACGUCAAUCUACUGAUCAAGUUGAGUUGACUACAAGUACAAAUCCCAUAUUGCAAGAUGAGUGAAUAUAACGACAUAUACUUCAUUAAUCAUUCAAAUAAAUUAAAAAACAUA